rnacentral:lncRNA from 1 species
AGACUACAAUAACGACCGUCACCCUAGUUAUGUUUCAUUUCCGCAUUAGUAAUUUUAAAUAAUUAAAUGGUUCAGUUAGAUGAUCACUAUGAAUAUUUCACUAUUCGUGAACUGGUUUGAGUUGAUGUUUUCAUAUGAUGCUGGCAAUUGGAGAUUUAUGAAUAAUUGGUUCUUGAAUUUAUGUAUUUACGCAUCGUGAUUUUCUACCCCUCGAGGCAGUCAGUUUUCAAAAAGAAGUUUUCUAGUAGAAAACAAUUUUAAAAGGUUUUCGAAUGUUUUCUAUGAAUGAUCAAAUAUAAUUUAAAAAUAAAGCUUCCGGGUGGGGAGCACUUUUAAAUAGGAUGAUUGUUGUAUUGUGCAUCGUAUCAUCCAGCGCCUAAGAAGUCUUUAGAGGCAUGCAUCAUCUCUAAGGAUCACUAGCUGUAUGAAAAUGUAUUGCAUGAAUUUUUUGUGGUUUGGUAAAUAUAGGUUGUUGUUGUGAUCCUGAUGUUAUUGUUGGUACGCCGUGCAAAUACAAAGAAGACUCUGUCCGAG